UUCCGGUUGAUCCCGCCGGACCUGACUGCUAUCGGAUUGAUACUAAGCCAUGCGAGUCAUUGUAGUAAUACAAGGCAGACGGCUCAGUAACGCGUAGUCAACCUACCCUGUGGACGGGGAUAACCUCGGGAAACUGAGAAUAAUACCCGAUAGAACAUUAUGCCUGGAAUGGUUUAUGUUUCAAAUAAUUUAUUGCCGUAGGAUGGGACUGCGUCCUAUCAGUUUGUUGGUGAGGUAAUGGCCCACCAAGACUAUUACAGGUACGGGCUCUGAGAGGAGUAGCCCGGAGAUGGGUACUGAGACACGGACCCAGGCCCUAUGGGGCGCAGCAGGCGAGAAAACUUUGCAAUGUGCGAAAGCACGACAAGGUUAAUCCGAGUGGUUUCUGCUAAAGGAACCUUUUGUCAGUCCUAGAAACACUGAUGAAUAAGGGGUGGGCAAGUUCUGGUGUCAGCCGCCGCGGUAAAACCAGCACCUCAAGUGGUCAGGAUGAUUAUUGGGCCUAAAGCAUCCGUAGCCUGCUUUGUAAGUUUUCGGUUAAAUCCAUACGCUCAACGUAUGGGCUGCCGGGAAUACUGCAAAGCUAGGGAGUGGGAGAGGUAGACGGUACUCGGUAGGAAGGGGUAAAAUCCUUUGAUCUAUUGAUGACCACCUGUGGCGAAGGCGGUCUACCAGAACACGUCCGACGGUGAGGGAUGAAAGCUGGGGGAGCAAACCGGAUUAGAUACCCGGGUAGUCCCAGCUGUAAACUAUGCAAACUCAGUGAUGCAUUGGCUUGAUGCCAAUGCAGUGCUGCAGGGAAGCCGUUAAGUUUGCCGCCUGGGAAGUACGUACGCAAGUAUGAAACUUAAAGGAAUUGGCGGGGGAGCACCACAAGGGGCGAAGCCUGCGGUUCAAUUGGAUUCAACGCCGGG
rnacentral:rRNA from 1 species